rnacentral:rRNA from 1 species
AACGAACGCUGGCGGCAUGCCUAACACAUGCAAGUCGAACGAGACCUUCGGGUAUAGUGGCGCACGGGUGAGUAACGCGUGGGAACCUGCCCUUAGGUUCGGAAUAACUCCCCGAAAGGGGUGCUAAUACCGGAUAAUGUCUUCGGACCAAAGAUUUAUCGCCUUUGGAUGGGCCCGCGUUGGAUUAGCUAGUUGGUAGGGUAAAAGCCUACCAAGGCGACGAUCCAUAGCUGGUCAGAGAGGAUGAUCAGCCACACUGGGACUGAGACACGGCCCAGACUCCUACGGGAGGCAGCAGUGGGGAAUAUUGGACAAUGGGCAAAAGCCUGAUCCAGCAAUGCCGCGUGAGUGAUGAAGGCCUUAGGGCUGUAAAGCUCUUUUACCCGGGAUGAUAAUGACAGUACCGGGAGAAUAAGCUCCGGCUAACUCCGUG